GGUACUACUUUCCAAUAUUUAUUUCUUCACAGAAGAAGGUCGUAUUCACUCAGAUUCGGGACAGCAAUGAUUUGUGCUCGUCUGCUGCGGGAGAAUGCGGAGACAUUACUUCAAUAAUAAGGAAUCUGGGUCCUUCGAUACACAAAAUCGAGCCCUGUCGAGUCCUAGUUCUGCCUUUAUGCUGUUGGAUUUGGUCAAGGACAACUUCAUAAACGUUUUGCAGACGAUUGUGAUCGGUGGUUCGAUCAACUGGAUUAAGCCUCACUUAAUUCCGCCUGGGUUUUGUCAGCUUCGUGAUAUCUCCCGAAUGUGUUUGGCUGAGAAGUAAUUACACGCUGGUCCUGGGAGAUGAUAAUGCCAUGGAUCAGACCCAAUCGAUGCAGGAUCAGAUGUCGAUAGUUUAGAUAGUUCAAUAAAUGAAUAAAGAUACAUACAAAAGCUCAAUAAGUUUAUAACAAUAUAUGCAUAAAGGUUGGGUUAACAUAACAUGUUUAGGGUAUAUGUUAAACCAACGUUGAACCGACUGCUUAUACUGGGUUAUACUGGCCGAUUUGACAUUUGUUUACCAUUGUUAUCGCGUAAUAUGUUUACUAUUGGUAAUAAAUUUACUGAGUAUUGGUAACAUUUACCAAAAAGCUCGUCAUAUAUACCAACUUUUUGGGAGAGUGUAUGAUCGGCGAUUAUGAUGAACUCGAGGAAUCGCUGUUUAUACAAAAAAGAGCGUGAAGUGUAAACCAGAAUAACAUCGGUGGAUGAACUCGGUGUAUUGAUAAUGAAUUCUACCAAAUGUUUACAGUGGCGUGUAUUCCGGAAUAACGUUGUACUCACUACACAUUGUUUUCACGUGUAGUGUAUUCGGGAAUAAGGCCCAUUAUCAACCAGACGCCUGAAGCUGCAGCGAGUGUUUAUUUUCGAUAUUCUCAAAAAUCGUAUGGAUUGCCCGGCAUUACCUCAGAGUAUCUAC